rnacentral:misc_RNA from 1 species
UUAAGUUCAGCGGGUAUUCCUACCUGAUCCGAGGUCAACCUUGGUUUAAAGAUGGGGUCUUUAACGGCCGGAGCACGCCGCGACUCCCUAGCGAGAUAGUAUUCUACUACGCUCGGAGUUGUAGCGAGCCCGCCACUUACUUCAGGGCCUACGGCAGCCGUAGGGCCCCAACACCAAGCAGUGCUUGAGGGUUGAAAUGA